rnacentral:lncRNA from 1 species
UAUUAUGUAUAAUUCAAUUAAAAUAUAUCCUGCAUAUUGAUUCUGCUAAACUGAAUGUGCGACUACAAAGAAAAUCUCAGCAACUCUGGAAACUGUAAUAUUUUGUUCUUGCAUUGCCUCAGUUGUAAAUAUACUCUGCUAUCUCGUGAGGCUUAUUGAGAUUCUAAUCCAGUAACCAAGUUUGUAGUCAGGAUUAUCACUUGUAUGCAUAUGAUUAGUGUUGCAAUGGCUAGUUUGUAAGGCGUAAGUGCUCAGAAAGUUCAGAUCUUUUUUCUAGUAACCAACUGGAUAUAUAAUAGGUGUGUUUUCAAUCACCUACGUGGUAACCACAUAAACGAAUAGUUUCUGUAGAAGGUGACCAUGGUAUCCGCUGUUUUGGACUGUUAUCAUCUAGUUCUAUCUGAAUUCAUCAAAA